rnacentral:rRNA from 1 species
CUACGGGCGGCUGCAGUGGGGAAUCUUAGACAAUGGGGGAAACCCUGAUCUAGCCAUGCCGCGUGAGCGACGACGGCCCUAGGGUUGUAAAGCUCUUUCAGCAGGGAAGAUAAUGACGGUACCUGCAGAAGAAGUCCCGGCUAACUCCGUGCCAGCAGCCGCGGUAAUACGGAGGGGACUAGCGUUGUUCGGAAUUACUGGGCGUAAAGCGCGCGUAGGCGGAUUGUUAAGUCGGGGGUGAAAUCCCGGGGCUCAACCCCGGAACUGCCCUCGAUACUGGCAGUCUUGAGUUCGAGAGGGGUGAGUGGAAUUCCGAGUGUAGAGGUGAGAUUCGUAGAUAUUCGGAGGAACACCAGUGGCGAAGGCGGCUCACUGGCUCGAUACUGACGCUGAGGUGCGAAAGCGUGGGGAGCAAACAGGAUUAGAUACCCCCGUAGUC